CCUUAGAGUUUGAUCCUGGCUCAGGACGAACGCUGGCGGCGUGCCUAAUACAUGCAAGUAGAACGCUGAAGACUUUAGCUUGCUAAAGUUGGAAGAGUUGCGAACGGGUGAGUAACGCGUAGGUAACCUGCCUACUAGCGGGGGAUAACUAUUGGAAACGAUAGCUAAUACCGCAUAACAGCAUUUAACCCAUGUUAGAUGCUUGAAAGGAGCAAUUGCUUCACUAGUAGAUGGACCUGCGUUGUAUUAGCUAGUUGGUGAGGUAACGGCUCACCAAGGCGACGAUACAUAGCCGACCUGAGAGGGUGAUCGGCCACACUGGGACUGAGACACGGCCCAGACUCCUACGGGAGGCAGCAGUAGGGAAUCUUCGGCAAUGGGGGCAACCCUGACCGAGCAACGCCGCGUGAGUGAAGAAGGUUUUCGGAUCGUAAAGCUCUGUUGUAAGAGAAGAACGUGUGUGAGAGUGGAAAGUUCACACAGUGACGGUAACUUACCAGAAAGGGACGGCUAACUACGUGCCAGCAGCCGCGGUAAUACGUAGGUCCCGAGCGUUGUCCGGAUUUAUUGGGCGUAAAGCGAGCGCAGGCGGUUUAAUAAGUCUGAAGUUAAAGGCAGUGGCUUAACCAUUGUUCGCUUUGGAAACUGUUAGACUUAAGUGCAGAAGGGGAGAGUGGAAUUCCAUGUGUAGCGGUGAAAUGCGUAGAUAUAUGGAGGAACACCGGUGGCGAAAGCGGCUCUCUGGUCUGUAACUGACGCUGAGGCUCGAAAGCGUGGGGAGCAAACAGGAUUAGAUACCCUGGUAGUCCACGCCGUAAACGAUGAGUGCUAGGUGUUAGGCCCUUUCCGGGGCUUAGUGCCGCAGCUAACGCAUUAAGCACUCCGCCUGGGGAGUACGACCGCAAGGUUGAAA
rnacentral:rRNA from 1 species